AGUGCUGUAUUGUUGAGUUUUGUAUGAACUAAUCUAGCUUCUCUAAAAAAAAAAAAAAAAAAAAAAAAAAGAAAGAAAAGAAAGAAAGAAAAGAAAGAAAGAAAGAAAAAAAAAGAAAAGAAAAAAAAGAGAACCACAGCUUUGGACAAAAGUCUAUAGCCAGUGCAUUUGAAAACUCCCCUUGCACCAGGGCUGACUGUAGCUGGGGGAAGACAUUUUACUCAUUUGCUCUUUCCUUUCAUACAGUCAGCUGGUCCCUCUUCUCAGGUGUAGAUCACCUAUUAUAAUUUUACCUAAUUUUGAUACUCUGAUAAGGAAAGUCCCAGGACUUAUCAGCUGGGAUAGGCCUCACUUACAAGACAGCUCUGUUCAGUAUUUGGAAGAAAGCCUGACAGGUUUCUUCGGAAAAGUGGCCAUCCAUGGAAUGAAUGAAAUGUUCUCUUUCUAUUCCAGGGAUUGCAGUGGCAAAGCUAGGCUAGGUCUUGGAGGCUGGUGUAAGGCGAUGUGGGUGAAGGCAGGAGGCUGAUGGAAAGACUGGGGGGAAGAAAAGCCGAAAUGGAUUCACGGUGCCUUGGAUGAAGGACGAGAGGGGAACUGCAAGCUCCUUCAACUGGUUCUGUCCGGUGAGAAGUGAUCAAGCUUGGGCUGACAAGAGGCUCAGGGAGCCCUCACGUUCUUUCGCUUUUUUACCUGCCAAUCAAACUGCUACAAGACAACACCCUGAUCUGGCAUGGACAUAUCCAACUUAGAAAUAAUGUUUCAUUCAAGAUAAGGCUCGUGGCUUAGGAGAUUGUGACCUGGCUUGCAUCAUUCUAAGACUUCUAUCGUCUGUUUUCAAAACCCAAGGAGGACCUCCUUUUCUGUGUGAUAGUUCCUCAUGCUUUGCCAGCCACUGGGUCUUUAAGGAAGCUUGCCAAGAGUUCCCGGCUGGGAAGGACAGUUCGAGUUCAUCAUAGACAAUGAGCUGGCACCACAGUUUAAGUGACUCACCAACCUGGUUGCCCACUUCAAAAUGUCAAGAACCACACUAUCUAAUUGAAAGAACUGUGUUUUAGCAAAGUGUAAUUGGAUCGCCUGGCAAGAUCAUCUCAAACUAUGUCUCUGACCUUGCCUUUCAGUGGCUAUUUUGAGCACAAGAGGAGAAAGGAAAUGAUUCCUGAAUUAUAUCUUGUUUUUAAAAAUUAAGAUUAAUUAAUACUUGGUUUUAUGUUCAUUCCAUUGUAGGAACUUAGUGAUUAUUACAAAACAGUCAAAAUAGGUCAUAGCAAAAUGAACGUUUAAGAUUAGGUUAAAACAUUCCUCUGAAAUUUUAGUAUUCACUUUUGAAGUGUCAAUUACUAUAUUUCUGUAAUUUCUCAUUUUUUUCUUGGCUUAGAGUCAAGAUGAAAAAUGAUAUUUGAAUCAAAGACAUUGUUUUGUUAUAUAGCCACUCCUUUCUAAAAUGCAAAUCCACCCUCCCCUCACCAAUGCUUUAUUCUUUGUGCGCGCACACACACACACACACACACACACACACACACACACACACAGACAUACACAGAACCAGCACCCAAAUGGUAGAGGAGGUCCUUCCAAGACUUCUAGGACCUGGAUCAUGUAAGCAGUAGAUGAGAAAAUGAAGUAAGAGAUAUAGAGUAAUAACAAUAAAAGUCAAUGAUUUCAUUUUACAAAAAAGUCAUUGUGUAGUACUCAGAUAUUUUUAAGAGCAAGUAUUAUUAUGACUAAAGUAUAUUAUACUUCUAAAUUAUUAUGAUUCUCAUCUAAUUUCAAGCCACACAUAGGCGCCAUUUGAAAGCAUUUUGUGUUACAACCUAUCAACAAAAAUCAACUAAUAGUUUUAUAACGUGCAUAGGUUUACCCCAUGGGGAAUUAAAAUUUUUAUCUGCAAGUAUUUCUGUUGUUGUGAGACUUUAGGACAAGACAACAUUUGGUGUUAACAUAGAAGAAUAUUCUAUGGCUUUUUUAGCUUUAAAGUUCAUUACUCUAAAAUAAAGUACACGUGGUAUUUUUUUCUUCCUAGUGUUCUCUUAUUAUAUGUAGAGUAUUUUCGGUUGUUGUUUUUAACGUAUACAUUAUUUUUAUUAAGUCAUUUCAUAAAAGAUAAGAUAUAUACUAAUAGACCCUUGGUUUUCUCCUAAUUUAAUUAUUUCAAGUCAAGCAAAAUUGGGCAAUUUUCUUUCAGGAAAAAAAAAAUAUUGAGCAUGAUUUUGAGGUAAAACUGAUUAUUUACAGCAUCUUUUCUCUAAUAGGCUAACAUUUAUGAUGGAUCUUAUUUCAAAGUUGAUUAUUCUCAAAGAAAAGUGGAGAUAUUAGAAUUUCCGAGUAAAUUGCAUUGUUUUAAAAAGUACUUUAAUGCAUUGUUCACAUUGUUGCCAGCUAUUGACCAAAAAAA
rnacentral:sRNA from 1 species